rnacentral:rRNA from 1 species
CCUACGGGUGGCAGCAGUAGGGAAUAUUGGACAAUGGGCGGGAGCCUGAUCCAGCCAUGCCGCGUGCAGGAAGAAGGCCUUCUGGGUUGUAAACUGCUUUUGCCGGGGGAUAAAAAGGCCAUGCGUGGCAGAUUGAAGGUACCCGGUGAAUAAGCCACGGCUAACUACGUGCCAGCAGCCGCGGUAAUACGUAGGUGGCGAGCGUUGUCCGGAUUUAUUGGGUUUAAAGGGUGCGUAGGCGGCCCCGUAAGUCAGCGGUGAAAUACGGCAGCUCAACUGUCGAGGUGCCGUUGAUACUGCGGGGCUUGAGUGCGGUCGAGGCGGGCGGAAUUGACGGUGUAGCGGUGAAAUGCUUAGAUAUCGUCAAGAACACCGAUAGCGGAGGCAGCCCUCCAGGCCGCAACUGACGCUGAGGCACGAAAGUGCGGGGAUCAAACAGGAUUAGAUACCCUUGUAGUC